CCGGUAUUGUUACGGCAAUACCGGGGUUGUAGGACUACAAUGUGGACUUAUAAAUUAUAGUGGAACAGGUUUGGAAAGGCCGAUCACAGAGGGUGAUAAUCCCGUACACGACAUAGUUUAUAUACCUAGUAGUAUCCUGAGUACUGCGGGGUCGGAGACGCCCUGUAGGAAUUUGCCGGCACCAUCCGGUAAGGCUAAAUACUCCCAAGAGACCGAUAGUGAACUAGUACUGUGAAGGAAAGGUGAAAAGAACCGCGAACAGCGGAGUGAAAUAGAACCUGAAAUGAAACCAUGCGCUUACAAGCGGUCGGAGCCCUUAAGUGGGGUGACGGCGUGCCUUUUGUAUAAUGAGCCUACGAGUUACUCUUCAUUGGCAAGGUUAAGGGCUUAAGGUCCGUUAACCGCAGCGAAAGCGAGUCUGAAUAGGGCGUAUAGUCAGUGGAGGUAGACGCGAAACCUUGUGAUCUACCCAUGGGCAGGUUGAAGCUCCGAUAACACGGAGUGGAGGACCGAACCGAUAAGCGUUGAAAAGCUUCCGGAUGACCUGUGGGUAGGGGUGAAAGGCUAAUCAAACUGGGAAAUAGCUCGUACUCCCCGAAAUGCCUUUAGGGGCAGCGUAGAGGUUAAGUUUUAUAGAGGUAGAGCUACUGAUUGGAUGCGGGGGAAGCGAUUCCUACCAAGUCCUGACAAACUCCGAAUGCUAUAAAAUAUACACUGCAGUGAGCCAUUGGGUGCUAAGGUCCAAUGACGAAAGAGAGAGAACUCAGACCAACAGCUAAGGUCCCCAAAUCUAUUCUAAGUUGAUAUAACGUGGUGCGACUGCAUUGACAGCCAGGAUGUUUGCUUGGAAGCAGCCAUUCAUUUAAAGAGUGCGUAACAGCUCACUGGUCGAGCGGUCGUGCGUGGAUGAUACUCGGGCAUCAAGUAUAGUACCGAAGCUUUGGACUCAUAUUUAUAUGAGUGGUAGGGGAGCAUUCUAACUGCGUAGAAGAAGUUGCGUGAGCGCUAUUGGAGCGGUUAGAAAAGCAAAUGUAGGCAUAAGUAACGAUAAAACAGGCGAGAAACCUGUUCGCCGAUAGACUAAGGUUUCCUGAACAACGAUAAUCGGUUCAGGGUCAGUCGGGACCUAAGGUGAAGCCGAAGGGCGUAAUCGAUGGACAUGCGGUUAAUAUUCCGCAACUUGUAUCACUGCGAUGGAGAGACGGAGACGCGUAAGGUCAGCGAACUGACGGAAUAGUUCGUUUAAGUGCGUAGGUUUAGGGUAUGUAGGCAAAUCCGCAUAUCUUCUGAAACACGAAAGUAGCCAGAGUCGUCAGACAAAGGCAUUGACCCCAAGCAUGCUUCCAAGAAAAUCUUCUAAGCUUCAGGUGAAUACAACCCGUACCGCAAACCGACACAGGUAGUCAAGUAGAAUAUACUAAGGCGCUCGAGUGAUCCGCGGCUAAGGAACUAGGCAAAUUAACCCUGUAACUUCGGGAAAAAGGGUGCCCCGCGCAAGCGGGGCCGCAGAGAAAUGGCGGUGGCGACUGUUUAACAAAAACACAGGGCUUUGCAAAACUGAAAGGUGAAGUAUAAGGCCUGACACCUGCCCGGUGCCGGAAGGUUAAGAGGAGAGGUUAGCGUAAGCGAAGCUUUGAAUUGAAGCCCCGGUAAACGGCGGCCGUAACUAUAACGGUCCUAAGGUAGCGAAAUUCCUUGUCGG
rnacentral:rRNA from 1 species